rnacentral:rRNA from 1 species
GACGAACGCUGGCGGCGUGCCUAAUACAUGCAAGUCGAACGCAGUGGGGAUGGGUGAUUAACACGUGGGUAACCUCCCAUCAGAGGGGAUAACACUUGUAAACAGGUGCUAAAACCGACACUGAUGGAUGGACCCGCGGUGCUUUGGCUAGUUGGUGAGGUAACGGCUCACCAAGGCCACGAUGCAUAGCCGACCUGGGAGGGUGAUCGGCCACGCUGGGACUGAGACAGGGCCCAGACUCCUACGGUGGGCAGCAGUAGGGAAUCUUCGGCAAUGGCCGAAAGUCUGACCGAGCAACGCCGCGUGAGUGAAGAAGGUUUUCGGAUCGUAAAACUCUGUUGUUAGAGAAGCGGUAUCUAACCAGAAAGCCACGGCUAACUACGUGCCAGCAGCCGCGGUAAUAC